rnacentral:tRNA from 1 species
CAUUGCGGGUCCUUGAGGGUGGUAUCGAAGGGACUCACAUUCUCUUCGAAUUCGGGGCCGGGGUGCGGCGCCGAAGUCCGAAGCCUUCGCCGUGGUGG